UGAUGAGAAGCUGGGCCGCAUUUUGAUUACUUUUACACCAACAAUACAGCACUGCAGCAUGGUGACAGUAAUUGGUCUUUGCCUAAGAGAGAAAUUGAAGGACCAUUUUCCUCCACAUUUUAAGAUUAUAAGAUUGUACAUAUAUAUACAAUAGGGCACCACAGAAUGGAGAAGUGAAAUUUUUUAGAAAUUAUUCGGGUUUUUUUGAUAUGGUAUCAGAGCCAUGAUUUUUCUCACACCUGGACGCUCGUCACUCUCGUCGUCUUCUUCGUCGGUGUGUCAUUUUUGUUCUGUGUGGAUUCCGGCCCUCUGCAUUGCAUCUUUCUAGUUCUGGUGGUCUAUCUUGAAACUUCAGGUCGGGUUCCGCUAGUCAGGAUGACACGAACCCGUUUCUUUAGUCAUCAGAGGCGUUGCUGGUAGAUUCGGCCUCCUCUCUGUUCCUCAAGUUUCGAUGACAUCGGUAAAGGAUUCUCCGGUGAUUUCUAGUUGAUUCUUGACUGCUAGUGGACUGAGGAGGUGAACGAUUUUUUCUUGGGUUUUCAGUGGAAUUUCUUUUGGUUUUAGCAGUAUAUUUACAGAUUGAGCCUUAACUUGGUUGGGCCGUCCUUUUCUUUUUCUUGGUUUCACUUAGUUGCUUCAGGUUGGUUAUUUUUAUAUCUUUGUAGGAUAAUUUAUUCCGUUAUGUCUUCGGAUAAAUUGGAACUAUUUCCCAUAUGUUUUAAUGGCAAAAAUUACUCAGCUUGGGAAUUUUAAUUUCAAUUAUUUGUCAAAGAAAAAGAGUUAUGGGGUCAUCUUGAUGGAAGUGAUCCCGUCCCUAAAGAAGAUAAAGAAGCUUUCUCUACAUGGGAAAUCAAGGAUGCUCAGGUUAUGACUUGGAUUCUUAGCUCAGUUGAACCUCACCUUGUUCUCAACCUACGAUCUUACAAAACUGCUUCUUAUAUGUGGGAUUAUCUUAGUAAGUUUUACAAGCAGGACAACACGGCCCGUCGAUUUCAGUUGGAAUAUGAGCUGGCUUAUUUUACACAAGGGAGUCUCUCCAUUGAGGAAUAUUUUUCUAGUUUCCAAAAUCUUUGGGCUGAAUAUUCUGAUAUUGUUUAUGCUAAUGUUUCCGCUACAGCUCUAUCUGCCAUUCAGACAGUGCAUGAGACAAGCAAAAGGGAUCAAUUUUUGAUGAAGCUACGCCCAAAUUUUGAGGCUACACGUUCUAAUAUGAUGAAUCACUAUCCUGUAUCAUCUCUGGAUGCCUGUUUGGGUGAACUCAUGCGUGAGGAGCAACGUAUCUUGACUCAGGCUGCCAUAGAACACAGAGCUAUUAUUAAUACUCAUGUUCCAGUAGCUUAUGCAGCACAAGGGAGGAAUAAGGGUGGAGACAUGCAUGUCAUCCAAUGCUAUAACUGUAAAGUUUUUGAUCAUAUUGCUCGAGAUUGUUCUAAGAAAUAUUAUAACUAUUGCAAGAAACAAGGCCAUUACAUCUCUGUUUGUCCUAUUCGCCCUGAAAGGAAGUCUACUACUGUCUACCAUACCUCCACUCGUGUCUCUACCUUUGCUGCACUACCUGUUGCCUUACACAUGGUGCUCUUGCAGUUUCUUCUAAGCCGUGGUUCUUUAAUUCUGGCACCUCCAACCAUAUGACCAAUAGUGUUACUCCUCUUUUCAAUAUUAAAAGGAUCCAGUGUCCGGGAAGAUGAUCGCGAAGGGACCUAAAGUAGGACAUCUGUUUCCCUUGGAUAUCUCUACUUUCCUAAUUCCCCCUCAUUCUCCUUUACUUUCUUUUGCAUGUAUUGCUGCUAGUCUUGGAAAUAAGUUGUGGCAUAACCGUUUAGGCCACCCAAACUCAGAUGUACUCCGUACUUUAUUUAAUUCUGGUAUAUUAGAAAAUAAAAGAUGUUCUUCUCUUGAUCUUUCUUUUGAAUGUACUGCAUGCAAAAUUGGCAAAAGUAAAGUUCUACGUUUUCCCUCUCAUGGCUCUUACGCCUCAUAAUAUUUUGAUAUUAUUCACAGUGAUGUUUGGGGAAUUUCAGCUCAUACUUCUCAUGUGGACUAUAUAAGUAUUUUGUUACAUUCAUUGAUGAUUUUAGUCAUUUCACUUGGGUUUAUUUUUUAAAGGCCAAAGCCGAAGUCUUUUCAGUCUUUAUGCAUUUUCUUGCCCUUCUUGGGAUUCAAUUCUCUAGCGGCAUCAAGAUCUUACGAUUUGAUUCUGAAGGUGAAUAUAUGUCCAAUGAGCUACAGGACUUUCUCUAAAGCAUGGGUAUCAUCUCCCAAUGUUCUUGUCCUUUGACAUGCGGUGUUGCUAAGAGAGAAUCGUAACCUUCUCGAUAUGGUAGAUAUAAAAGUGGCUCCUGGAUCUCAUGCAAAUGAAGAAUCAGUUAAUAAGCAGUUAAAUGAUAAAGAAAGAGUUUCUG